AUGGAAGGAGGCGGGGGAAGCGGCGACAAAACCACAGGGGUAUUGGCCGGUUUUUUCGGAGCCGGCGGAGCAGGUUACUCGCACGCGGAUUUGGCUGGCGUCCCGCAGUCAGGACCUCGUUCUGUCACCCAUGUUGGGGUGCGGUGGCAUGAUUAUAGUUCACUGAAGCCUGGCACUCCUGAGCUCAAACAAUCCUCCCCUCUAAGCCUCCUAAGUAGCUGGGACUCUAGUAACUGGUAUGAACCCUCUGUCUCUUUAUUUAAAUGUGGAUCCACGAUACCUCGUGCAGGUAAGAUUAAGAUUUUACUAGUUUGGUGCCUACCUGUAAUCCCAGCUGCUUGAGAGGCUGAGGCACGAGAAUCGCUUGAACCCUGGAGACAAAGGUUGCAGUGAGCUGAGAACACCCCACUACACUCCAGCCUGGGCAACAGAGUAAGACCCUAUCUCUAAAUAAAUAAAACUAGACAUAAAAGGGACUUCAGCCUGUUAAAUGCCAUCUACAGAAUAUCCAAAGCUAACAUAAUUUAAUGGUGAAAGACUGAAUGCCUUCUCCCUAAGAUCAGGAACAAAAUAAGUAUAUUUACUCUCAUUUAUAUUCAGCAUUGUCUGGCCAGGGCAAUUAGUGAAGUACAUUAAAUGGCAUUCAAGUUGAAAAAGAAGUUAAACUAUCUGUUUACAAAUGACAUGAUCUUAUCUAUAGAAAAUCACAAGGGAAAUCACAAAAAUCUGUUAAAACUAAUGAUCGAGUUCAGCAAGUUGCAGAAUACAAGUUCAAUAUACAUAAAUCAAAUAUAUUUCUAGACAGUUGCAAUGAACACUACAAAAAUGAAAUUACAAAAAACAGUUCAUUACCAAUAACAUCAAAAAGCAAAUACUUAGAAAUAAAUGGACCAGGUGCAAAACAUAUUCUGAAAACUAUAAAACAUUAUUGAAAUUAAGUGGAAAGACACAUGCUAUGAUCCUGAAAAUUUUAAUAUUAAAAUGGCAGUGCUCACCAAAUUAACCAACAGAUUUAGUGCAGUGCCUGUCAAAAUCCCAGCUGGCUUUUUUGCAGAAAUUGACAAGCUUUUAUCCUAAAAUUCAUAUGGAAAUUCAGGGGACAUAGAAUGGCCAAUGACCUUGAGAAAAUAGAUUGGAGGACUUGAACUUGCCAAUUUCAAAACUUUCUACAGAGCCACAUCAUGAUAGUAACAUAAGAAUAAAUCCAUAGUUAAUGAAAUACAGAGUCCAGAAGAAAGACCUUAUAUAAUAUACGCAGUCACUUGCUUUUCAACAAGGAUGCCAAAAUAGUUAAGUCAGGGGAGACGUUAGGACAACUGGAAUCCAUAUGCAUAAGAAUGAAGUUGAACCCUAACCCUGCACCAUAUGCAAAAUGUUACCACCAAAUGGAUUAAAGACUUAAAUGUAAACUGAAGCAGUCAAACUCUUAGAAGAAAUCAUGGGCACAAGUAGUUGUGACUUUGGAUUAGACAGUGAUUUCUUGGAUGUGACACCAAAAGCACAAGUGGUAAAAAGAAAGUUGAUAAAUUGUAUUUAAUCAGAAUUUUAAAAUUUUGUGGUUUAGACAAUACCAACAAGAAUGGAGGCCAGGUGCAGUGGCUCACACCUGUAAUCCCAGCACUUUGGGAGGCUGAGGCGGGUGGAUCACCUGAGGUCAGGAGUUCGAGACCAGCCUGGCCAACAUGGUGAAACCCCAUCUCUACUAAAAAAUACAAAAAUUAGCCAGGCGUGGUGCUGGGCGCCUGUAAUCCCAGCUACUUGGGAGGCUGAGGCAGGAGAAUCACUUGAACCUGAGAGGCAGAGGUUGUGGUGAGCCGAGAUCGCACCACCCGCACUUCAGCCUGGGCAACAGAGUAAGACUCGGUCUCAAAAAAAAAUAAAAAAAUAAAUAAAGAAUGGAAAAAGUCCUGGCGCAGUGGCUCGUGCCUAUAAUCCCAACACUUUUAAGAGGCUGAGGCGGGAAGAUCACUUGAGCCCAGGAGUUUGAGACCUGCCUGGCCAACAUAAGAAGAUCCCAUCUCUGCAAAAAAAUACAAAAAUUAGUGGGGUGUGGUGGUAUGCACCUGUAGUCCCAGCUACUAGGGAGGCUGAGGUGGGAGGAUCACUUGAGUCCAGCAGGUCAAGUCUCAGUAAGCAUAAUCAAACCACUUAACUCCAGCCUGGGUGACAGAGAGAGACUUUGUCUCAAAAGGAAAAAAAUAGGGAAAAGACAAUCCACAGACUGAGAGAAAAUAUUUGCAUAUUAUGUAUCUGAUAAGGAAUUUAUAUCUAGAAUAUUUAAUUUUUUAACUCUUGAAACAUUAAUAAAAAAUAAUUACAAAAUGGGCAAAGGAUUUGAGUAGACAUUUCUCUAUGAAGAUAUACAGAUGUCUAAUAAUGACAUGAAAGCUGGUCAGUAACAUUAAUUAGAGAAAUAAAACCACAAUGAGAUGCCUCUUUACACCCACGGGGAUCACUAUAAUCAAAAAGAAAAUAACAAGUAUUGUUGAGGAUGUAGAGAAAUUGGACCUCUGUACAUUGCUGGUGGGAAUGUAAAAUGAUACAGCUGCUUUUAGAAACAGUCUGGCAGUUUCUCAAAGUGUUAAAAAUAGAGUUACCUUAUGACUGGCAAUUUCACUUGCGUAUACUCCAUACUCAAGAGAAUUGAAAACCUCUGUGCACAUAAGUUGUAAAUGAAUGUUGCUAGUAGCAUUAUUCAUAAUAACCAAAAAAUGGAAACCAAAUGUUUAUCCACUGAUGAAUGGAUAAAAAAGUGUGGCAUAUCCAUACAAAUGGAAUAUUAUUUGGUAAUAAAAAAAGAACUAUUAAAUUAUGCUACAAUAUAAAUGAACCUUUAAAACUUCCUAAAUGAAAGAAACCAGUCACAAGAGACCACAUAUUGUGUGGUUCCAUUUAUAUGGAAUGUCCAGAAUAGGCAAAUAUAUGGACAAGAAAGUAGAUUAGUAGCUGCCAAGGGUUGGGAGUAAAUGGGCAGUGACUGCUAAUGGGUAUGUGAUUUUUUUGGGGGGUGAUGAAGAUGCUUUAAAAUUUAUUGUAGUCUUGGUUGCACAACUCCGAAUAUACUAAAAACCACUGAAUUGUACACUCUAAGUAAGUAAAUUGUAUGGUACAUGAGAUACAUAUCAGUAACUCCAUUUUCUCUCUCUCUUUUUUUUCUAAGAGACAAAGUCUCACUCUGUCUCCCAGACUCGAGUUGCAGUAGCAGCAUCAUAGCUCACUGUAACCUCAAACUCCUAGGCUCAAGCGGUCCUUCUGCCUCAUCCUCCUAGACAGCUGGGGCUGCAGAUGAACACCACCAUGCCUGGCUAAUUCUUUUUUUUUUACAUUCUUUGUAGAGAUGUGAUCUGACUUGGUUGCCCAGGCUGGUCUCUUAACUCCUGGCCUCAAGUGGUCCUUCUGCCUUGGCCUCCCGAAGUGCUGGAAUUACAGGCAUGAGCCACCAUGCCUGGCCUUUUUUUUUUUUUUUUUUUUUUUUUAAGAGUUAUGGUUGGAACCUUUUAUUUCAGAGUUGAAUCACUAACGGCAUCUGACAGCUGCUGCAUUUCUUGUUUGCGUUAAGUGUUCAAAUUGAAGCAAGUUGAUGGUUCGGACCUUGCCAAUUUAAAGCUUCAUUAUUUUUGAAAUGUUUUUCAAAUGUUAUAUUUUAACAUUGGGUGUUCAUUGAUUUUUUUACUUUAAAAGUACUCCUUUGUCAGUUUACUCAAAGUUUCAAAACUAGUUGCAUGUAUUUUGCUUUAAUGUUGAAUCUACACUUAGAGGUUGUACUCUAGAUCUAGUUAAAAUUCAAUAUCAUUGUGGCCCUGCAUUGCUAGGUGGGGCUAAUUAAGGUUAGACAUAAAAUAUUUCAUAUCCCCCCAAAAACUUGUGAAUUCAUUCUUCAUCAUGAACAUUUAAUCUUCCAUUGGAAUUCUAGAGGGACUUCAGACUUUAAAAAGUGUUUUAUAAACCUCAUCUGUUAUUGGAAAUAAUUCUGGAGACCUUAAAUUUAAAGAUAAUAGAAAUUACAUUUUGUAAAACUUUUAUUUAUACUUUUGAAGGUUAGAGACAUCUUAAAUAAAAUAGUACCUGUCAACUCACCAUGUCGUGACUUUGGCAACAACUUUUUUUUUUUCUUGUUUAAUAGAAGACACAGGGUCUCACUGUGUUGUCCAGGCUGGUCUGGAACUCCUGGGUUCAAGCAGUCCUCCCACCUUGGCCUCCCAAAGUGCUGGGAUUACAAGCAUGAGCUACUGUGCCUAGCCAACUUUUAUCUGAUACAGUAUUGUAGUUUCUCUCACUAAUGCUUUUGUAUUGUCACUACUCUUAUAUCCUCAUUGAA
rnacentral:lncRNA from 1 species